rnacentral:misc_RNA from 1 species
UUAUUUCCCGAUCCAGGAUUUAAACCCGGGCAUCUGAAUUAUAAAGCCAGCAUCUCAUCCACUCGACUAUGGCCACUCCACCUUGCUGAUAAUAAUAACAAAAUUAUUAUCUAGGCCUACUCUUGUGAGAAGCAAUGGAUUAUCCUUUCAAUGAAUAGUUGCAAAUUCACAUUCAAAAUUAUUUAAAUUUUCAAGAAGAAACUUCAUAAUAGAAUAUUUCAAAUGGUAUUAGUUGGUUAGUAGUGUAAUAGUAAGUUAAUGAUAAUAGCUUCAUAUAAUACUGGGAGACGCAGGGAAACGAGAAGUUUUGAAAUUUCUAAGAAACAAUAUUCAAAUAUAAAACUAGUAGAAUACUAAUGGAAUGGCAUUUAUUCAUCAUGCAAUUUAUGUUCAUACAGUUGAAAUGUCCAAAUGUAUCUCUUCAUUUUCAAAAAUGGCGUUGGAAAGAUUUGUUCACAUUCGGGAUUUAUAGCCUGUUAUGGGUGGUGCAAGAAAACUGGAAAUUUUGAAAUAAAGUCAUUAACACUAAUAAAUUCCAUGAAAGAAGUGGAUUACCAAUGGAAUGACAUGUAUUCAUUAUGCAAUUUAUGAUCCUCCAAUCAAAAUGUCCGAAAGUUUCUUUUUGAGAUAAUUAAAAAAGAUAUGCUCACAAUUAAUUGGCUUUCGCAGUCUGUUAUGGUAUUAUAUAGAGCAAGGAACGGGAUACUUUGAAAUAAUGUACUUUCCACCAAUAAAUUACAUACUAGCAAAUUACUAAUAAAAUGGCAUAUAUUCAUAUUCAUCAUGCCCUGCAUAAUCAUUUUAUUGGAAAUUCUAAAAAUGCUUUUUUUAAUUUUUAAGAUGACAUAAGAAAGAUGUGGUCUCAUUCAGCGUUCACUUGAAAAUCUAUUUGCUGUGUGAUAUUUGAGGCAGGCAACCACCGCCCUAGAGCCAGUGGGCAGCCGAGCGACGACCCUGUCACAGUAGUCAAGUGCCCCCUGUAGCUGUCGCCGUCCCCAGGCGCCGUCCCGCGAGAUGGAUGGAGGCGGUGGGAAUGCGAAAUGAAUAACAGACGCCCGGUGAUGGUGAGAAUGGGAUGCUGGAUGCUGGGUUCAUCAGAAGGACACUUGGUCUCACCGCUGCUUUCUCUAGAUACCGUUGGAUAAUCUCUAUCAGAGUUGAAACUUCUCAACAAAGGAAAAAAACUGAUGAACGUGCCAACUCCACUGAUACUUCACCAUAUUAUUUGUUUUACAAAUGCAAUAUUUUUUAUACACUUAUGAAGUGUUUUAUCAAUAAACAUAAUAAAUAAUAAGAGUAUUUGAACAAACGAAAUUAACACUUGAAAAGUAAUGUUGUCUGUUUAUGUAAAGAGUUUGUCACAUUUUAUACUCUGAAAUUGUUUUAUAUAAUUUCAUUAUAAUUCUCAUAAUGUGUAAUAGAUUGCAUAAAAUUGUUAUUAAAAA